UACAGAGGUCUCAAGCGUUGUUCGGAUUCACUGGGCGUAAAGGGCGCGUAGGCGGUCUGCUAAGUUGGAUGUGAAAACUCUGGGCUUAACCCAGAGCCUGCAUUCAAUACUGACAGGCUAGAGUUCUGGAGGGGAUAGCGGAAUUCCUGGUGUAGCGGUGAAAUGCGUAGAUAUCAGGAGGAACACCGGUGGCGAAGGCGGCUAUCUGGACAGAAACUGACGCUGAGGCGCGAAAGCUAGGGGAGCAAACAGG
rnacentral:rRNA from 1 species